UACGGAGGGUGCAAGCGCUAUCCGGAUUCACUGGGUUUAAAGGGUGCGUAGGUGGGCAGGUAAGUCAGUGGUGAAAUCUCCGAGCUUAACUCGGAAACUGCCAUUGAUACUAUCUUUCUUGAAUACCGUGGAGGUCAGCGGAAUAUGUCAUGUAGCGGUGAAAUGCUUAGAUAUGACAUAGAACACCAAUUGCGAAGGCAGCUGGCUACACGAAUAUUGACACUGAUGCACGAAAGCGUGGGGAUCAGACAGG
rnacentral:rRNA from 1 species